UACGUAGGGUGCAAGCGUUAUCCGGAAUUAUUGGGCGUAAAGAGCUCGUAGGCGGUUUGUCGCGUCUGCUGUGAAAACUGGAGGCUCAACCUCCAGCUUGCAGUGGGUACGGGCAAACUAGAGUGCGGUAGGGGAGAUUGGAAUUCCUGGUGUAGCGGUGGAAUGCGCAGAUAUCAGGAGGAACACCCGUAGCGAAGGCGGCACUCUGGGCCGAUUCUGACACUGAGGGGCGAAAGCGUGGGGAGCGAACAGG
rnacentral:rRNA from 1 species